GACAGAUGGGUGAGCGGCUGAAACCACACCCCUGCUAAGGGUGCAAGUCUUAAUCGGGCUUCGAGGGUUCAAAUCCCUCUCUGUCCGC
rnacentral:tRNA from 1 species